rnacentral:rRNA from 1 species
CCUACGGGAGGCAGCAGUGAGGAAUAUUGGUCAAUGGUCGCGAGCCUGAACCAGCCAAGUCGCGUGAAGGAUGACUGCCCUACGGGUUGUAAACUUCUUUUAUCAAGGAAUAAAGUGAGGCACGCGUGCCUUUUUGUGUGUACUUUAUGAAUAAGGAUCGGCUAACUCCGUGCCAGCAGCCGCGGUAAUACGGAGGAUCCGAGCGUUAUCCGGAUUUAUUGGGUUUAAAGGGAGCGUAGAUGGGUUGUUAAGUCAGUUGUGAAAGUUUGCGGCUCAACCGUAAAAUUGCAAUUGAUACUGGCAGUCUUGAGUACAGUUGAGGUAGGCGGAAUUCGUGGAGUAGCGGUGAAAUGCUUAGAUAUCACGAAGAACUCCGAUUGCGAAGGCAGCUUACUAAACUGCCACUGACAUUGAUGCUCGAGAGUGUGGGUAGCAAACAGGAUUAGAUACCCGGGUAGUC